AUAAUAACCAGUUUAAUAAUAAUAAUACUUUGGCUCCAUUUGAUUCGGAUUUAUUUGCAAGUAAUAAUUAUACCACAAAAUAUAUGAACAGUAAUCAAAACAAUAACAUUAUACCUUAUAAAGAACAAACAAAUAUAAAUACUUAUAACCCAUUAUGUAUAGAUGAUUUUAAAUUAUUAAAUCCAAAUAAUAAAAUAAAUUAUUCUAAACAAAUAAAUAUGAAUUUUAUUCCUGACAAUGAAUUAAAUAAAAUAAAAUAUAUAAGUGAUAAUAAUCAUAAUAAUAAUCAUAAUAAUUAUAAUAAAGAUAAUAGUAGUGUUGGUAAUAACCAACUUUAUAAUACAACAGCUAUGUUACCAAGUAAUAAUAAUAAUAAUAAUAAUAAUAAUAAUAACAAAACAAUGGGUAUACAAUAUUACGAUCCAUUUAAUAAAAAUAUUAAUUAUAUGAAUGAACAUAAUAUAUAUAACAGUACACCAAAUAAUUUAAACACUUUUGGUAAUUAUUAUUUUAAAAAUGUACAAGAUAAUAAUGUAAAUAAUAUGCAGCAAAUAGUACAAAAAGGACAACCUCCAAGUAAUGUUAAAAAUAACAAUCAUCGUAGUAGUAGUAAACAUCAUCGUAGUAGUAGUAAACAUCAUCGUUAUAGUAGUAAAUACCAUCGUAGUAGUAAACACCAUCAUAAUAGUAGUAGUAGUAAUAGUAGUAAUCGUCAUCACCGUAGUAGUAGUAAUAAUAGUAAUCGCUAUUAUAAAAGUAUAAAUCGUACUAGUACUAUUCCAAGUAUUAGUAACACUCAUAAUAACAAUACAUUAUAUAAUCUACACAUGAUGGAAACAGGGUUCACUAACCAAUCAAUAUCAAAUAAUAAAAAUAUGAUUAACGAAAAACUAUUUUAUAAUAAUAAUUCUAUUCAAAAUAGUAAUUGUAAUAGUAAUAAUAAUUUUGUUCAUAAAAAUCCUAAUUUUAUGAAUGGUGGAAAUUUAUAUACACAUUUGAAUCAAAAUUUCAAUAAUAAUAAUAAUAAUUUUAAUAAUAAU
ensembl:lncRNA